rnacentral:lncRNA from 1 species
GAUCCUCUUUUCCCAUAGUGUUUGCCAAGAUAUAUGUGAAAUGCUUUCUAGGAAACUUAAUUGUGUGCCUAUUGCAUUAAACUCUAGUUCGUGGUUUCCUCUCUAACAUUGUCCUUGGCUGGAGUCAUUUUAAAAAAUAUAUCUUUUCUUUUCCUGAUGCUUUCUUGGUUUAUAAAAUUGCUGUUACUUGAUCUGUAAUUUUGUGUGAAAACACACAGUCUGAAUUCUUUAAUGCCACUUAACUCUAUAAAAUUCUGCAUGCUGUUUAGAGUCAUGUUUAGAACCCUGGUCUCCUGGUUCUG